rnacentral:piRNA from 1 species
UCCCAUGCUUGUUUACACUUUUAUUGGA